AGUCUGGAAGAUCAAGUCCGAAUUUAGAAUUCUAGGACUGGAAUUCCAGGCAAGCAGAGCUGCCAAAAUCCUUCUCUAUGCGUUCCACUUCCCCUUUACACUGCAUGGGCGGACACUUGGCCACCACCGGGGCCUUGGGGUGAGCACACGCUCAGGAGGAAGGACCUAAAGAAACGCUUUUGCAAGCCCUGAAAACAACAGUGAUGAAGUAGAACUGCAUGUAACAAUAUGGAUACAUCUGAAAAAUACGCUGUUAAAUGAGCAAAACAGAUUGCAGACGGAUAGUUUCAUAGGUUAAGAAGAAGAAAUGUACUCAAAGAGCUGUACUUAAGGAAUUAAAACUGAGGAGCCCCAACUGCACCUGGACCUGAUUUAGAUGACAAGAUUUUGGAUAUUCAGCUCACACUGCAAUGGGAUGAGACUUCGCAGUCCUUGGAGGGAAAAUAGCAAUGGCAUGUGACCAACACAACACAUGAGAACACGGUUAAUCCAAUUUUCCUGAGCUGAAAGAGAGAGGACAGAAAGAGCAAGGAACAAACAAGAAGAAAAUCAAGGGGAAAGCAAGAAAAAAACGAAAGCCAAUGGAGUAUGAAGAAGACUACGUGCAAUAUACAAGAUAACUCACCAUGUGAAUUUUAAAAAAACAUGAAAAGCAUACCACCUCUCUGAACUCAUGUAGCAAAUUCCAUUACGAAAGUCCAAGCAGCAAAACGAAGCACCUGAGAUCACAGAGCUCUUCAGUGAAGUGCAAAAGAUGACUGAAGAAAUUGAGUUAUGUUCCGUCAUGAGAAGCACUAGAGUAACAUGAUAACAAAACCACCCUCCCUAUGGGAAAGAGGAGGAAGCCAGGGAAUAAAUGGUGUGGCUAGAAUGGUGCAUUUAUAUAUUUCUUUCACUUCCGAAGACUGACCUCUCCCAAUAAAGAGAUUUGGAGCGGCACUAAGAAGAAAUGGCAAUUGCCAAAUGGAGAUACUGGAAUAAUGACCACCCUGAUUGGACUUAAGAAGCUGAGAGAAUGGAGAGCUGAUGUAUGGCUGCAAUUAGAAAGUUUCAAAACGACUGCUUUAAAACACCAGAGAACCAGUGCCUAUUUGGAAAAGUAAUAUGGGCACACAAGGAAGAAAGCAAUGCAGUGACAUAUAUCAACAAGGCUACUGAACGAUGAUAGCUAUGCCAGAGAAAAGCAUUACAUAAUGACAUCAAAAUAGGACACUUGAGGAAUGUCUUAGAGCUAAAAUGGCUGUCACCUGGUAUUUUGGCAUUAUUGAAGAACAUGAAGAGAUAGUCCCUGGAAACUGGAGAGUACAGCUUAUUUGCAACAACAAUUUUCAGAGGUCAAGAACAUGUUUUCCUCAUUUUUUAAAAAAGUUAAGCUCUUAAUUUUCACUUGAGAAAAUUAUGAUGCUCUAAAAUGUCUAAUACCUAAACACUGCCUAUAGGUAGGCAUC